CAAGGUUUCCGUAGGUGAACCUGCGGAAGGAUCAUUACCGAGUGAGGGCCCUCUGGGUCCAACCUCCCACCCGUGUUUAUUUACCUUGUUGCUUCGGCGAGCCUGCCUUUUGGCUGCCGGGGGACGUCAGUCCCCGGGUCCGUGCUCGCCGGAGACACCUUAGAACUCUGUCUGAAGAUUGUAGUCUGAGAUUAAAUAUAAAUUAUUUAAAACUUUCAACAACGGAUCUCUUGGUUCCGGCAUCGAUGAAGAACGCAGCGAAAUGCGAUACGUAAUGUGAAUUGCAGAAUUCAGUGAAUCAUCGAGUCUUUGAACGCACAUUGCGCCCUCUGGUAUUCCGGAGGGCAUGCCUGUCCGAGCGUCAUUGCUGCCCUCAAGCACGGCUUGUGUGUUGGGCCCCGUCCUCCUUCCGGGGGACGGGUCCGAAAGGCAGCGGCGGCACCGCGUCCGGUCCUCAAGCGUAUGGGGCUUUGUCACUCGCUUUGUAGGCCUGGCCGGCGCUUGCCGAUCAACCAAACUUUUUAUCAGGUUGACCUCGGAUCAGGUAGGGAUACCCGCUGAACUUAAGCAUAUCAAUAAGCGGAGGA
rnacentral:ncRNA from 2 species